rnacentral:rRNA from 1 species
ACACAUGCAGUCGAGGGGUAACAUAGAAAAGCUUGCUUUUUUGAUGACGACCGGCGCACGGGUGCGUAACGCGUAUACAAUCUGCCUUAUACUGGGGUAUAGCCUUUAGAAAUGAAGAUUAAUCCCCCAUAGUCUCUAGCUAUGGCAUCAUAGCUAGAGUAAAGGUUACGGUAUAAGAUGAGUAUGCGUUCUAUUAGUUUGUUGGUGAGGUAACGGCUCACCAAGACUACGAUAGAUAGGGGCCCUGAGAGGGGGAUCCCCCACACUGGUACUGAGACACGGACCAGACUCCUACGGGAGGCAGCAGUGAGGAAUAUUGGACAAUGGAGGCAACUCUGAUCCAGCCAUGCCGCGUGCAGGAAGACUGCCCUAUGGGUUGUAAACUGCUUUUAUAUAGGAAGAAACCUUGGUACGUGUACCAAGCUGACGGUACUAUAAGAAUAAGGAUCGGCUAACUCCGUGCCAGCAGCCGCGGUAAUACGGAGGAUCCAAGCGUUAUCCGGAAUCAUUGGGUUUAAAGGGUCCGUAGGUGGAUAAUUAAGUCAGAGGUGAAAUCUUGCAGCUCAACUGUAAAAUUGCCUUUGAUACUGGUUAUCUUGAGUUAUUAUGAAGUAGUUAGAAUAUGUAGUGUAGCGGUGAAAUGCAUAGAUAUUACAUAGAAUACCAAUUGCGAAGGCAGAUUACUAAUAAUCAACUGACACUGAUGGACGAAAGCGUGGGUAGCGAACAGGAUUAGAUACCCUGGUAGUCCACGCCGUAAACGAUGGUUACUAGCUGUUUGGACCUUGUGUCUGAGUGGCUAAGCGAAAGUGAUAAGUAACCCACCUGGGGAGUACGUUCGCAAGAAUGAAACUCAAAGGAAUUGACGGGGGCCCGCACAAGCGGUGGAGCAUGUGGUUUAAUUCGAUGAUACGCGAGGAACCUUACCAGGGCUUAAAUGUAA